rnacentral:rRNA from 1 species
GCUCAGGACGAACGCUGGCGGCGCGCCUAACACAUGCAAGUCGAACGAGAGAUGAGGAGCUUGCUCUUCAAAUCGAGUGGCGAACGGGUGAGUAACGCGUGAGGAACCUGCCUCAAAGAGAGGGACAACAGUUGGAAACGACUGCUAAUACCGCAUAAGCCCACGGCUCGGCAUCGAGCAGAGGGAAAAGGAGCAAUCCGCUUUGAGAUGGCCUCGCGUCCGAUUAGCUAGUUGGUGAGGUAACGGCCCACCAAGGCGACGAUCGGUAGCCGGACUGAGAGGUUGAACGGCCACAUUGGGACUGAGACACGGCCCAGACUCCUACGGGAGGCAGCAGUA